rnacentral:rRNA from 1 species
GAAUAUGGGGGGACCAUCCUCCAAGGCUAAAUACUCCUGACUGACCGAUAGUGAACCAGUACCGUGAGGGAAAGGCGAAAAGAACCCCGGCGAGGGGAGUGAAAAAGAACCUGAAACCGUGUACGUACAAGCAGUGGGAGCACGCUUAGGCGUGUGACUGCGUACCUUUUGUAUAAUGGGUCAGCGACUUAUAUUCUGUAGCAAGGUUAACCGAAUAGGGGAGCCGAAGGGAAACCGAGUCUUAACUGGGCGUUAAGUUGCAGGGUAUAGACCCGAAACCCGGUGAUCUAGCCAUGGGCAGGUUGAAGGUUGGGUAACACUAACUGGAGGACCGAACCGACUAAUGUUGAAAAAUUAGCGGAUGACUUGUGGCUGGGGGUGAAAGGCCAAUCAAACCGGGAGAUAGCUGGUUCUCCCCGAAAGCUAUUUAGGUAGCGCCUCGUGAAUUCAUCUCCGGGGGUAGAGCACUGUUUCGGCAAGGGGGUCAUCCCGACUUACCAACCCGAUGCAAACUGCGAAUACCGGAGAAUGUUAUCACGGGAGACACACGGCGGGUGCUAACGUCCGUCGUGAAGAGGGAAACAACCCAGACCGCCAGCUAAGGUCCCAAAGUCAUGGUUAAGUGGGAAACGAUGUGGGAAGGCCCAGACAGCCAGGAUGUUGGCUUAGAAGCAGCCAUCAUUUAAAGAAAGCGUAAUAGCUCACUGGUCGAGUCGGCCUGCGCGGAAGAUGUAACGGGGCUAAACCAUGCACCGAAGCUGCGGCAGCGACGCUGAUGCGUUGUUGGGUAGGGGAGCGUUCUGUAAGCCUGCGAAGGUGUGCUGUGAGGCAUGCUGGAGGUAUCAGAAGUGCGAAUGCUGACAUAAGUAACGAUAAAGCGGGUGAAAAGCCCGCUCGCCGGAAGACCAAGGGUUCCUGUCCAACGUUAAUCGGGGCAGGGUGAGUCGACCCCUAAGGCGAGGCCGAAAGGCGUAGUCGAUGGGAAACAGGUUAAUAUUCCUGUACUUGGUGUUACUGCGAAGGGGGGACGGAGAAGGCUAUGUUGGCCGGGCGACGGUUGUCCCGGUUUAAGCGUGUAGGCUGGUUUUCCAGGCAAAUCCGGAAAAUCAAGGCUGAGGCGUGAUGACGAGGCACUGCGGUGCUGAAGCAACAAAUGCCCUGCUUCCAGGAAAAGCCUCUAAGCAUCAGGUAACAUCAAAUCGUACCCCAAACCGACACAGGUGGUCAGGUAGAGAAUACCAAGGCGCUUGAGAGAACUCGGGUGAAGGAACUAGGCAAAAUGGUGCCGUAACUUCGGGAGAAGGCACGCUGAUAUGUAGGUGAAGUCCCUCGCGGAUGGAGCUGAAAUCAGUCGAAGAUACCAGCUGGCUGCAACUGUUUAUUAAAAACACAGCACUGUGCAAACACGAAAGUGGACGUAUACGGUGUGACGCCUGCCCGGUGCCGGAAGGUUAAUUGAUGGGGU